rnacentral:lncRNA from 1 species
GGUGAGUAGCUCAAGCUGGGAGGGCCUUGCUGAAGAUCAAAUGAACACAACAGUGACCCUGAAAUUCUGAGUCUGACAGAAAAUUAACCACCCAUGCUUCUCCCUCCAUCUCCUUGACGACAAUUUCCAAAGGAACCUUAGACGCUGUGAAGCAUUUGCCAGGCAGAGAAGGAAGAAAAGACAAGUAGAUUGUCCUUGGUGUUAGUAUUUUGGUGUUUUCUUGGUAUUUUCUCCCAUUGCUCCAGGAUGGAUCAAAGCUAGGUUAGGGUCAGGAAGUCCUGAAGUUCCAACAAAGGAAUGGCAUUUGAGGCGUUUGACUCAAGUUCAGGGAAGGAACAAGGAUCCAUGGAGCUGAUGUAUCUACUUUUCUCACACCGAGAUGGCACUGUGACGAGUAUCAGUGGAUGCUAGGACCUGUCAUUGCAUCACAGACCUUCAAGUCUGAAGAGAUCUCAAGAGUUCAGGCAAAAAAAUAUUUGGAAGGAGCAUCAGGAUCGUGUCACUUACACAGACCUGGACAUGAAGUCUCCAGCUUUUUUCAUUCCAAUCCUCAAAAGAGAAGGGGCUGAACUAGUGAUGGUAUGUGAAUGUGAUGGAAUCUCCUGUGAUGUAAGAAAUGAUAAUGGGGAUGGUUUCAGAGAAAACUGGGAGAGCUCUGUGAACUGAUACAGAGUGAAGCAAGCAGAACCAGGAGAACAAUGUAUACAAUAACAAAAUCUUGGUAAAAACAGACCUCUUCGGGACUCUGAUCAGCAUAAUGACAAGGAUUCUAGGGGACUCAUAAGGAGACAGCUGUCUUCUUCUUGAUGGGGAGGUGAAGGGUGCACAGAUACAUAUGUGUGUAUCUGAACAUAGCCUAUGCUAAAAUCUAUUUUGCUUGACUCUACAUGUUUCUAACAGGAGUUUUGUUUUUCUUUCGUUCUCAGUUGGGGGUGAGGAGCAGAAUUUUGCUGAUUGAAAGAAUAAAAUUUACUUUAAAAAAGAGAAAGCUAAGGGG